CUGUAAACCAAAGAGAAUUCCUUACAACAACUUUGUAUGAGCUCACUUCCCAUCCCUCUUUUUUGCCUUUAAAAACUUGCUUGUAACAAAGGCUGGGCGGAGCUCACAUUCAACGUUUCUUGGGUCUAAAUCUUCCGGGCAGCUGUCUACACUUUGGCUCAGGUACCAUCUGCUGACUUCCCACAUCAGAAGAAUGAUCUUCAACCCAAGACACAGGCAAAGAGAGCAUCUAACUGCUUAAAAUGAGAGCAGGAAUGGCUGUUGGCUUAGAUAGAUGGCACCCCAGAGUCCUGAAAGAACUUGCAGAUGUGAUCACAGGACCAUCUGAACCGGAGAAACCGGGGGGAAUGGAGAGACAGCAAAAGACCGGAGAUGGGUAAAUGAGUUCCAGAUUUUCCAACACAACAGGAAAGGAAUCUACUUACCAAGAUGGCAGGAGCAAGUGGUUAUCAGAGCCUGCUCUCUAGAAAUACAAUUAAACAAGCAGCCCCUGUCUCUUUUUCUCCACUUUCAGUCUUGGGGAAGGGAUUGGUAGGUUAAAGUCAUUCUACCUCUUUAUUUAAUAAUUCUGUUUUGCAUACCCUUUACUGGAUGAUCAUUCCUUAGAGAGGUUUGCAGUCAAAAGCCCCAUUCUUUAUUGUAUUAAACAUCACAGAGUCCCAUGUUUUCCUUCAGGAAUAUGUGAGCAGGAGAGAAGGGUCAUGUUGGAGCAGCCAGGACUCAGAGCCUUUCCGCAGACUGAGUCUGGAUCCUUUCCUUCAGCCUCCAGGAAUACUCCCGGCUCCACACCCAGAAUGGUAAUCCAGGCAAGGGCUCUGGUGUGUGGCCACACUGCCACCUAUUACCUGCGGGUCCAAAUGCAGUGACUCAACUUCUCUGUGCCUCUCUUUCCACAUGUAUAAAAUGAGGAUAAUGUUGCUAUUGUAAGAAUUGCAUCAAUUAAUAAACAGCACUC
ensembl:lncRNA LINC01895 long intergenic non-protein coding RNA 1895